rnacentral:sRNA from 1 species
GUCAAUCACUCACGACCCUAAAGGGUCGGGGCUUGUAAAAGCCUGAUUGAUUAGACUGAGUAUUAAAUUACUACGUUGAUUUGGUCAUGAUACCUACGGAUGUUUAUCCUAGUCUGUACUUUGAC